CCUACGGGUGGCAGCAGUGAGGAAUAUUGGUCAAUGGACGAGAGUCUGAACCAGCCAAGUAGCGUGAAGGAUGACUGCCCUAUGGGUUGUAAACUUCUUUUAUAUGGGAAUAAAAUGUUCCACGUGUGGGAUUUUGUAUGUACCAUAUGAAUAAGGAUCGGCUAACUCCGUGCCAGCAGCCGCGGUAAUACGGAGGAUCCGAGCGUUAUCCGGAUUUAUUGGGUUUAAAGGGAGCGUAGGUGGAUUGUUAAGUCAGUUGUGAAAGUUUGCGGCUCAACCGUAAAAUUGCAGUUGAAACUGGCAGUCUUGAGUACAGUAGAGGUGGGCGGAAUUCGUGGUGUAGCGGUGAAAUGCUUAGAUAUCACGAAGAACUCCGAUUGCGAAGGCAGUUCACUAGACUGCCACUGACACUGAGGCUCGAAAGUGUGGGUAUCAAACAGGAUUAGAUACCCGAGUAGUC
rnacentral:rRNA from 1 species